CCUACGGGGGGCAGCAGUGAGGAAUAUUGGUCAAUGGGCGCGAGCCUGAUCCAGCCAAGUAGCGUGAAGGAUGACUGCCCUACGGGUUGUAAACUUCUUUUAUAAAGGAAUAAAGUGAGGCACGUGUGCCUUUUUGUAUGUACUUUAUGAAUAAGGAUCGGCUAACUCCGUGCCAGCAGCCGCGGUAAUACGGAGGAUCCGAGCGUUAUCCGGAUUUAUUGGGUUUAAAGGGAGCGUAGAUGGGUUGUUAAGUCAGUUGUGAAAGUUUGCGGCUCAACCGUAAAAUUGCAAUUGAUACUGGCAGUCUUGAGUACAGUUGAGGUAGGUGGAAUUCGUGGUGUAGCGGUGAAAUGCUUAGAUAUCACGAAGAACUCCGAUUGCGAAGGCAGCUUACUAAUCUGCCACUGACAUUGAUGCUCGAAAGUGUGGGUAUCAAACAGGAUUAGAUACCCGAGUAGUC
rnacentral:rRNA from 1 species